AGAGUUUGAUCCUGGCUCAGAAUCAACGCUGGCGCGCGCCUAACACAUGCAAGUCGAACGAGAAAGGGGAGCAAUCCCUAAGUACAGUGGCGUACGGGUGAGUAACACGUGGGUAAUCUACCUUUUGGUGUGGAAUAACCCUGGGAAACCGGGGCUAAUACCGCAUAAGCCCGAGAGGGGAAAGCAGCAAUGCGCCGGAA
rnacentral:rRNA from 1 species